GACGAACGCUGGCGGCGUGCUUAACACAUGCAAGUCGAGCGGUAAGGCCCUUUCGGGGGUACACGAGCGGCGAACGGGUGAGUAACACGUGGGUGACCUGCCCUCAGCUCUGGGAUAAGCCUGGGAAACUGGGUCUAAUACUGGAUAUGACUCCACGGUGCAUGUCGUGGGGUGGAAAGCCUUGUGCGGCUGAGGAUGGGCCCGCGGCCUAUCAGCUUGUUGGGGGGUGAUGGCCUACCAAGGCGACGACGGGUAGCCGGCCUGAGAGGGCGACCGGCCACACUGGGACUGAGACACGGCCCAGACUCCUACGGGAGGCAGCAGUGGGGAAUCUUGCGCAAUGGGCGAAAGCCUGACGCAGCGACGCCGCGUGAGGGAUGACGGCCUCGG
rnacentral:rRNA from 1 species